rnacentral:rRNA from 1 species
UAAUACGGAGGAUCCAAGCGUUAUCCGGAUUUAUUGGGUUUAAAGGGUCCGCAGGCGGAAUAUUAAGUCAGUGGUGAAAUCCUACAGCUUAACUGUAGAACUGCCAUUGAUACUGGUUUUCUCGAGUACACCUGAAGUGGCGGAAUGUGUCAUGUAGCGGUGAAAUGCUUAGAUGUGACACAGAACACCAAUUGCGAAGGCAGCUCACUAAAGUGUAACUGACGCUGAGGGACGAAAGCGUGGGUAGCGAACAGGAUUAGAUACCCUGGUAGUCCACGCCGUAAACGAUGAUCACUAGAUGUUGGCGAUAUAAUGUCAGUAUCUGAGCGAAAGCAUUAAGUGAUCCACCUGGGGAGUACGGUCGCAAGAUUG